GAUGAACGCUAGCGGCAGGCUUAACACAUGCAAGUCGAGGGGCAGCGCGGGAUAGCAAUAUCCUGGCGGCGACCGGCGGACGGGUGCGUAACGCGUGAGCGACAUGCCCGUUGCCCGGGGACAACCGGUGGAAACGCCGACUAAUCCCCGAUGGGAUAUUGUGCCGCAUGGCACGAUAUUGAAAGUUACGGCGGCGACGGAUUGGCUCGCGUCCGAUUAGCUUGUUGGCGGGGUAACGGCCCACCAAGGCUGCGAUCGGUAGGGGUUCUGAGAGGAAGGCCCACCACAAUGGGACUGAGACACGGCCCAUACUCCUACGGGAGGCAGCAGUGAGGAAUAUUGGUCAAUGGGCGGAAGCCUGAACCAGCCAUGCCGCGUGCGGGAAGGAGGCCCUAUGGGCUGUGAACCGCUUUUGCCUGGGGGCAAUAAGGGCGUCGCGCACGUCCGAUGAGAGUACCAGGCGAAUAAGCAUCGGCUAACUCCGUG
rnacentral:rRNA from 1 species